rnacentral:lncRNA from 1 species
UCGAUUGUUAGGAUAUCGGAUUGUGAUUAAUGUGAUGGUUUACGGUUUCAGGAUCUGCGGUUACUCGUAGUACGACCAAGAAGCCAUGAAGACUCAGUCAGCGCAAAGUUGUGUGGUGUAUAGGUAGAUCGAAUUAGGAAUGAACUUAUGAUAACCUAUAGUGCAACUUAAACCUAUGUAUUGAAUUUCAUUUUAUAUUAAUACAAGAUUGAUUUACCUUAUUGUUUAUACAUACUGGUCGAUUGUCUUAUGAACCUCAUAUGAUUGAAAAUGACAUAGUAAAUAUUGAACCUAAAAUGAAUCAAGAGUCGGAUUGAGUUGGUGUAAGGCCGCGGGUCUUAGUUGGGUUCAGGAUCCCAAGAUCGGGUCUUACAUGUCAUCUCACUAUUGAUUGUCUCCUUUUUCCCACCCAAGACAUCAAAUUUCAAAAACA